rnacentral:rRNA from 1 species
UACAGAGGGUGCGAGCGUUAAUCGGAAUUACUGGGCGUAAAGCGUGCGUAGACGGUUAUUAAGUCGGGUGUGAAAGCCCGGGCUCAACCUGGGAAUUGCAUUCGAGACUGAAUAAGCUAGGGUACGGUAGAGGGAAGUGGAAUUUCCGGUGUAGCGGUGAAAUGCGUAGAUAUCGGAAGGAACAUCGAGUGGCGAAAGCGACUUCCUGGACCAGUACCGACGUUCAGGCACGAAAGCGUGGGGAGCAAACAGGA